ACUCAAAUGAAUUGACGGGGACCCGCACAAGCAGUGGAGCGUGUUGUUUAAUUCGAUACAAAGCGAAAAACCUCACCAGGGUUUGACAUGUAUCUGCAAAUCCUAUGAAAGUAGGACUUCUUCGAGAGUGAUACACAGAUGCUGCAUGGCUGUCGUCAGCUCGUGGCGUGAGCUGUCCCCUUAAGUGGGUAAACGAGCGCAACCCUCACCGUAUGUUAAAUAAUUCAUGCGGAACUGCCUCCAUUUUUUGGAGGAGGAAGGCGAGGAUGACGUCAAGUCAGCACGGUUCUUACACCCUGGGCUACAAACACCCUACAAUGGCGAAUAACAACGAGCAGCAAGUCGGUAACGGCAAGCUAAUCUCUAAAAUUUCGCCUCAGUUCAGAUUGAGGUCUGCAACUCGACCUCAUGAAGUCGGAAUUGCUAGUAAUCGCGGAUCAGCGGGCCGCGGUGAAUACGUUCUCGGGUCUUGCACACACCGCCCGU
rnacentral:rRNA from 1 species